rnacentral:misc_RNA from 1 species
AAUUUAUGUAUAUAAUUUAAAAUUCUAAUUUGCAAGUUUUAACUGUAUAACUUUAAAGUAGACUGUUCGGCAUAUAUGUAUGUUCAGUAGCUGUAGUAAACCUGAGCAGUAGAUAUAACCGUCUCUCAUUCUACUGUAUUAACGUUGAAUUCCAUAAUAUUUCGCUAUAAUAUUUACUAUUAGAGUUUAUAAAUGACAAUUAUAUUUGCUGAGAUUAUUAGUAGUCUAAGAAACUUAAAAUCUUAAGAAACAUUUAGCCGAAUAUAAUUACUAUUCUUAAUUAAUUAACCUAAACAAAGAUUACGUGCUUCUGAGUGUGGUAAGCCAUCCACCACCCAAAUAAAUACGCAUCACAGAAAACAGCAAACAUAUAUGUUAUGAGAUAUUAUUAAGUUCUAGUAAGAGGAGCGAGUCUGUAUCGAUUUACUAGACGUCCGAGUUGUAUAACCCGCGCAAUAUUCCGGCACCGGUCAAAUUAUUUGACAUUUAUAGUUUCUUCCCGCUCCUGAGAUUCGUAGCGCGGUGUUUUAUAACCGUCUGCAAAUAAUAUACUACGUUUUUGAAAUCGAUACUAUAUGUUUGAACGAACAAAUAUCUUUACCAUAGCUACUAGUAUCAACAGAAAGUUUAAUAUCUAAUAACAUCAGGUACAUACAUGCAUAUAUAUGUAUGUAUAGGGUUUUUCAACAAAGGUAGGUAGAUGGUAAAAUUGAAUAAAACAAGCUGUUUGAGGUGUUAAGAAAAUUAUUUUUUAUUUGAAAUCCUAUGCAUGCUAUUGAAUGUGAAAUAUGACAUAAUGAAUAUAUGCUUAACGAAACCUAUAUAAUAAGUAUGCUUUGUAUACAGCAUACCUGCUAAUGGAACUUUUUGUAUAAAUUGAAUUGAGAUAGGAUCUUAAAACUAUAGAUAACGAUUUUCUUGUUUUUUUAAAUUAAACUGGAAAUAAGGUUUUCUAUGUCAGUAUCCGUUAUCGUUGAAUGAAAAAAUAUUCCUACAAUGAUUGUUAGCUUUGUUACAGCGGUGGGCUUAUUAAGGCUGUGGUUUCGAAUGUGUGUGUUUUUGCCAAUGUUCGUCAUAGUAUAUUUCAACGCCAUUAGCCGAAAUCAAUGAAGAGGAUUUUAAACAUUUAACAGAAAUUGAACCGUUUUUACUCGUUUAAGCGGUAUAAAUAAAGUAAUCACGUUUUGUCAAAAUUGUUUUUGAAGUAAUAUUUCUUUACGCACACUUGAGUUGCACGUAAGCUGGUGAAUGCGUAACGAGAGCGUUACGAAAAAUGUGAUCGAGCUAGGCUAACGGAAGUUGAGAGAAAGAAAGAGAGAGUUACAUUUCGUAUAUUAUGGUAAGA